rnacentral:rRNA from 1 species
UACAGAGGGUGCGAGCGUUAAUCGGAAUUAUUGGGCGUAAAGGGCUCGUAGGCGGUCUGUUGCGUCGGGAGUGAAAACUCGGGGCUUAACCCCGGGCCUGCAGUGGGUACGGGCAGACUAGAGUGCGGUAGGGGAGACUGGAAUUCCUGGUGUAGCGGUGAAAUGCGCAGAUAUCAGGAGGAACACCGGUGGCGAAGGCGGGUCUCUGGGCAACAACUGACGCUGGAGGAGCGAAAGCGUGGGGAGCGAACAGG